rnacentral:tRNA from 1 species
GAAUUGGUGGUUUAGUGGUAGAAUACUUUCAUUCCAUGCGGGAGACCCAGGUUCGAUUCCCGGCCAACGCA